rnacentral:rRNA from 1 species
CACGUAGGGUGCGAGCGUUGUCCGGAAUUAUUGGGCGUAAAGAGCUCGUAGGCGGUGUGUCGCGUCGGCCGUGAAAACCUGCAGCUUAACUGUGGGCUUGCGGUCGAUACGGGCAUCACUGGAGUUCGGCAGGGGAGACUGGAAUCCUGGUGUAGCGGUGAAAUGCGCAGAUAAUCAGGAGGAACAGCCGGUGGCGAAGGCGGGUCUCUGGGCCGAUGACUGACGCUGAGGAGCGAAAGCGUGGGGAGCGAACAGG